AGCAGCCGCGGUAAUUCCAGCUCCAAUAGCGUAUAUUAAAGUUGUUGCAGUUAAAAAGCUCGUAGUUGAAUUUCGGGGUUCUACCGUUGGUCGGGCUUUGUCUGUACUGGCGUGUAGAAUUUCUACCUUCUGGGAACCAUCAUGUUAUUAAUUUAGCGUGGUGGGAAACCAGGACCUUUACUUUGAAAAAAUUAGAGUGUUCAAAGCAGGCUUAUGUCUGAAUACAUUAGCAUGGAAUAAUAGAAUAGGACGGUGGUCCUGUUUUGUUGGUUUCUGAAUCACCGUAAUGAUAAAUAGGGAUAGUUGGGGGCAUUAGUAUUCAAUUGUCAGAGGUGAAAUUCUUGGAUUUAUUGAAGACUAACUUCUGCGAAAGCAUUUGCCAAGGAUGUUUUCAUUAAUCAAGAACGAAAGUUAGGGGAUCGAAGACGAUCAGAUACCGUCGUAGUCUUAACCAUAAACUAUGCCGACUA
rnacentral:rRNA from 1 species